rnacentral:rRNA from 1 species
UACAGAGGUCUCAAGCGUUGUUCGGAAUUACUGGGCGUAAAGCGCACGUAGGCGGGUCGUUAAGUCAGGGGUGAAAUCCCGGAGCUCAACUCCGGAACUGCCUUUGAUACUGGCGAUCUAGAGGUCGAGAGAGGUGAGUGGAAUUCCGAGUGUAGAGGUGAAAUUCGUAGAUAUUCGGAAGAACACCAGUGGCGAAGGCGGCUCACUGGCUCGAUACUGACGCUGAGGUGCGAAAGCGUGGGGAGCAAACAGG